AGCGAACGCUGGCGGCAGGCCUAACACAUGCAAGUCGAACGAACUCUUCGUACUUAGUGGCGGACGGGGGGGUAACACGUGGUAACUUGCCUUUUGGUUCGGAAUAACUCAGUUAAACUUGUGCUAAUACCAAAUGUGCCCUUCGGGGGAAAGAUUUCUCGCCAUUAGAUCGGCCCGCGUCUGAUUAGCUAGUUGGUGAGGUAACGGCGCACCAAGGAGACGAUCAUUAGCUGGUCGGAGAGGAUGACCAGCAAGACUGGGACUGAGACACGGACUAGAAUGCUACGGGAGGGAGCAGUGGGGAAUACUGCGGAAUGGGCGAAAGCGUGACGAAGCCAUGCCGGGGGAAUGAUGAAGGUCUUAGGAUUGUAAAAUUGUUUCACAGGGGACGAUAAUGACGGUACCCGGAGAAGAAGCCCCGGCUAACUACGUG
rnacentral:rRNA from 1 species